UCGAAUCUGCUCUAGCGAGUGGUAUCAACAAGCUUAUCUGUUAUUCAGACUCUAAAAACUUGAUUAAUCUGCUCAUAUGAAACAAGUCUGUGACUGCUCUCCCUUAGAUCCUUCAUGACUUAGGCGUGUUGAGUCGAUUCCUCUCCUCUAUCUCUUUUUGUUUUGUUCCACGACAGGGUAAUAUAGAGGCUGAUAAACUAGCCAAGGAAGGAAGCUC
rnacentral:lncRNA from 1 species